GGCUGGUGGGGUUUGGGAGGGGUCAGAGAUUGAGGCGCUGGUCGCUGUGCCCCGUUCUGGCCUGGAGCAAGAUGUAUUGCAGGCGGGAGUGAUGAAUUCCGCUUUUAAGGUCCCCAGAAGUUGAGAAGCUCUGGAUUGGAGUGCAUCUGAUAGAAGUUGUCACAAAAAAAAUAGUUCUUUCUCCUGUGGAGCACAACAGUCUGAUGCCGGAAGAAAACGAAGAAGUAGAUAAGUCAAAAUAAACAGAUACAGAAGACAGUGAAAUAUCUUCAAAAUGCUGAGGGGAAAGUGUAAUUCAAGAAAAAGCAAAUAUUUUCAUACUUUUCUAAGGAAGAUUACUAUCCACUGACUCUUCUAGCAGGAAGUGCUAAGAGAUUCACUUCACCUGAAAAGAAACUGAACCCGGAAGGAAGACUAGGAAGCCCAUACAUAUGGAAAAUUGAUUUAUGUCUGAAUGGGCAUUGCAGACCAGUAGGUAAAAGAUAAUACUACUCAAUAAAUGGUGCUGGGGCAUUCCAUUAUUCCCAACAGAAAAAUAAAAUGAAUUUGGACCCCUGCUUCACUCUAUAUAAAAAAAUCAAUUCUCAGUGGAAUAAUGUGAAAGGCAA
rnacentral:lncRNA from 1 species